rnacentral:rRNA from 1 species
UAGGGAAUAUUGCAAAAUGGGCGAAAGCCCGAUGCAGCAACGCCGCGUGGGCGAUGAAGGCCUUCGGGUCGUAAAGCCCUUUUUGAGGGGAUGAGGAAGGACAGUACCCUCAGAAUAAGCCUCGGCUAACUACGUGCCAGCAGCCGCGGUAAAACGUAGGAGGCGAGCGUUAUCCGGAUUUACUGGGCGUAAAGCGCGUGCAGGCGGAUUGGAGAGUUGGAUGUGAAAGCUCCCGGCUUAACUGGGAGAGGUCGUUCAAUACUUCCAGUCUUGAGUGCAGUAGAGGGAGGUGGAAUUCCGGGUGUAGUGGUGAAAUGCGUAGAUAUCCGGAGGAACACCAGUGGCGAAAGCGGCUUCCUGGACUGUAACUGACGCUCAGA